UCAAGGACCAGAAUAAUCUGGUCUUUGAAGGAAUGAAAAAAAGGAGAGACUGGUAGAGCUCCUCUUUGUCAGCGGC